GUGUCAGCCGCCGCGGUAAUACGGAGGGUGCGAGCGUUAAUCGGAAUUACUGGGCGUAAAGCGCAUGCAGGUGGUUCAUUAAGUCAGAUGUGAAAGCCCGGGGCUCAACCUCGGAACUGCAUUUGAAACUGGUGAACUAGAGUACUGUAGAGGGGGGUAGAAUUUCAGGUGUAGCGGUGAAAUGCGUAGAGAUCUGAAGGAAUACCAGUGGCGAAGGCGGCCCCUGGACAGAUACUGACACUCAGAUGCGAAAGCGUGGGGAGCAAACAGGAUUAGAAACCCCCGUAGUCC
rnacentral:rRNA from 1 species